GAGCUGAAGUACAUAAGCCAUCAAAAAGCCUUACACUGCUGUAACAUUCUGAUUUUCCAUGAGAAAGUCUCCCAGCCCAGUUAAAACAGCAGAAGUUUUAGGAUAUCAGUAAGCCCUCCAGAGCUAGGUGCCUAACUGCCUCUGAAUCUGUAAGCAUAGCAGGGUAAGACUAAUAGGCUCUUCCUGGUAUUACAAAGGCAUUUGGAGGUUACAUUCAUUAAAGGCUGAAAGGUGCGGGGUAUAAUCAGGCAAUGAGAGCUAUGUGGGCCCUUUUCUUAGAUUGUUGCCACCUGGGAGUUAAGAGAGAAACUCAGAAUCCUCUGAUUUCCCCUGGCCUGUUUGAGUGAGUUUGCAGGUCUCGGUUAAAACUCAAGAGCAUAGUAUUUAAAAAACCUUGUCAUAAUAGGCAGACUUGAUGGAAGACUCAACAGAAAAGACAGAACCCCCCAGGCACAAUGGGGAAGUGAGACUGGUAGAAGGCACAUGGGAAGCACCAGUUAAGGCACAGAGUAUUCUAUUUAAUUGCAACUGGAGAGAAAGACUGCUUUGCAGCCAUAAAUUGCAGCCUUCCUCAGUUAUCCUGGUACUCUAAGAUCUUCAAAAAUUGUUCUUUUUGGCUAUGAAAAUGUUAUCAGAAUAUUUCUGUAGUACUUUGUACCUUUAAUAAGAGUAUUUAAAACAAAAAAUCAACACUAUUAAUACAAAAUAAAAAGUCUUGCGGGACUACAAUUAGAGUUUUGCAGUUUUGCUUUCCAAUGUGUACUAAUGUCUCUUAAUCAUUGUGUACGGACUUGCUGUUAAGUGCUUAAACUUGGGAAUUCCUAUGCAGAAAGUCUGUAAGUUUCUGUCAUUGUUGCAUGUUCUAUCAUAGUAAAGGCAAAGAUUUUCAAUUAACAUACAAUCCGCAUUAAAAUGAUUUGCUUUUCUUAUAAUGCAUUUAUCCUUCUAUGUAAAGAAUUUUAAAGCAGCUUUACCUAGAUCGUUCUUCAAUCAGUUAAUGCAGUAGACAUCUAAUUAAAAAAUAAAACAAAACAAAACAAAAACCCAACAAACCGAAUUACAAACAUAAACACAACCUCAGUUUAUGUAGAAACAACGUAAGCAAUAGCCUGGGGUUCCUCUGUUAGAGUAUAAUAGAAAUGCCCAGCAGAUUUCAGGAGCAUAAAUUUCAAUGGAAGACUCAAGCAUAUGCAGAGUAACAUCUUCAAAAUGUAUUAAGUAAUUCAGUCUUGAAAUAUAACAAAAAUAAUGCUUUGAUGCAAAUCCUGUUGCAUUCAUGAGAUUUUACAUAGUCUUUUGAAAACUUGACUUUCAUUUGUUUCUGUGUGAAGCAGGAGAUUUAAGGUAAAAAUUUACCCCAAGCCCAGACUGGGAUUCAAAUUAUCUGCAAGAUACAAUUUGUUUGAAGUGGGGGC